CUCAAAUAACCUCAUACGGCGUAAAACGUGACUAGAAGCCAAUUUUAAAUGCGGGACUCACAACCCAGAUAAAGCCGUAAAACGCACACAUCAAAAGGAAUCUCUCCACGCCCCCCAUUAACAAAUCACCUUUGACUACACGAAAUCUGUGACACAAACUAGGAUUAGAUACCCUAUUAUGCCCAGACAUAAACACAGGCAGCAAGCUUAACCCACCAUGCCCGCCAGAGAACUACACGCACCCUAGCGUAAAACUCAAAGGACUUGACGGUGUCUCAUACCGCCCUAGAGGAGCCUGUCCUAUAAUCGAUACUCCCCGCUACACCUCACCCCCCAUUGCAAAGCUUCAACCUAUAUACCGCCGUCGCCAGCUCACCUUACAAAAGCCAAACAGUGUGCAAAAUAGUUCCCCACUAAAAAGUCAGGUCAAGGUGUAGUUAAUUGGGGGGACAGCGAUGGGCUACAUUUUCUAGCAAAGAAGCCCCCAGCAAUAUGAAAUAAUGCCAUAAGACGGAUUUAGCAGUAAAUAGAGCAAGAGCCGCUCAAUUGAAGCUCGCCCUGAGACGCGUACACACCGCCCGUCACCCUCCUCAGAAACCAAAAAUCAAAAUAACUAAGCCCCUCCCCCAAAUCUACCAGAUGAGGCAAGUCGUAACAUGGUAAGUGUACUGGAAAGUGCACUUGGCAAAAC
rnacentral:rRNA from 1 species